rnacentral:tRNA from 1 species
GGUACCAUGGCCGAGUGGCUAGGCGCCGGUCUGCAAAACCGGUUACAGCAGUUCGAAUCUGCUUGGUACCU